AGCGAACGCUGGCGGCAUGCCUAACACAUGCAAGUCGCACGGGGGGGCUUCGGCCUCCCAGUGGCGGACGGGUGAGGAACGCGUAGGGACCUGUCGAGGGGUGGGGGAUAACCGCGGGAAACUGCGGCUAAUACCGCAUGACGCCGCGGCGUGACAGCCGGGGCCAAAGGCGAAAGCCGCCCGCCGAGGGGCCUGCGUCCGAUUAGCUGGUUGGCGGGGUAGCGGCCCACCAAGGCGUCGAUCGGUAGCUGGUCUGAGAGGGUGAUCAGCCACACCGGGACUGAGACACGGCCCGGACUCCUACGGGAGGCAGCAGUGGGGAAGAUUGGACAAUGGGCGCAAGCCUGAUCCAGCAAUGCCGCGUGGGUGAAGAAGGUCUUCGGAUUGUAAAGCCCUUUCGGCGGGGACGAUGGUGACGGUACCCGCAGAAGAAGCCCCGGCUAACUUCGUG
rnacentral:rRNA from 1 species